rnacentral:rRNA from 1 species
AGGACAAACGCUGGCGGCGUACCUAAGACAUGCAAGUCGAACGGGCGCUUCACCUUCGGGUGGGUGUGCUAGUGGCGGACGGGUGAGUAACGCGUAGGAACCUGUCAUCAAGAGGGGGAUAACGCUGGGAAACCGGCGCUAAUACCGCAUGUGGUCAUGAAAAUGAAGAAAGCAGCAAUGCGCUUGAUGAGGGGCCUGCGUCCGAUUAGCUUGUUGGUGGGGUAAAGGCCUACCAAGGCAUCGAUCGGUAGCUGGUCUGAGAGGAUGGUCAGCCACACUGGGACUGAGACACGGCCCAGACUCCUACGGGGGGCAGCAGUGAGGAAUUUUCCGCAAUGGGCGCAAGCCUGACGGAGCAACGCCGCGUGCAGGAGACGGUUUUCGGAUCGUAAACUGCUUUUCUCGGGGACGAGAACGGACGGUACCCGAGGAAUCAGCCCCGGCUAACUACGUGCCAGCAGCCGC